rnacentral:rRNA from 1 species
CGCGUAGGCGGCCUAAAAAGUCAGAUGUGAAAGCCCGGGGCUUAACCCCGGAAGUGCAUUUGAAACUGCUAGGCUUGAGUAUGGGAGAGGGAAGUGGAAUUCCUGGUGUAGAGGUGAAAUUCGUAGAUAUCAGGAGGAACACCGGUGGCGAAGGCGACUUCCUGGACCAAUACUGACGCUGAUGCGCGAAGGCGUGGGGAGCAAACA